rnacentral:rRNA from 1 species
CGAAAGCCUGACGGAGCAAUACCGCGUGAGGGAGGAAGGCUCUUGGGUUGUAAACCUCUUUUCUCAGGGAAGAAUACAUGACGGUACCUGAGGAAUAAGCAUCGGCUAACUCCGUGCCAGCAGCCGCGGUAAUACGGAGGAUGCAAGCGUUAUCCGGAAUGAUUGGGCGUAAAGCGUCCGCAGGUGGCAAUGUAAGUCUGCUGUCAAAGCGUCUGGCUCAACCAGAUAAAGGCAGUGGAAACUACAUAGCUAGAGUAAGGUAGGGGUAGAGGGAAUUCCUGGUGUAGCGGUGAAAUGCGUAGAGAUCAGGAAGAACACCGGUGGCGAAAGCGCUCUGCUGGACCUAAACUGACACUGAGGGACGAAAGCUAGGGGAGCG